GCUUUCUAUAAGUAAUGUGUAUAUUAUGCAAGUUUAAGAUGGAAAAAUUUGCUGCUUGAAAGAAAUGAUGCAAGAAAAGAUGGUGUCACUGUCCCACCACCUACUUAGUUCUGUUUGUAUGUCUAGGGGAGGGAGGAAGCUGAGAUGAGCCAUCUGUACUCUGCUUCUCUGUCUUCUGUAAGACUAAUGGUGCCCGUUAAUGAGGUAAGUAGCAAGCUGAGAUCAGGGCCUGAUCUGUGAUCAGAAUCAGAGAUCAGUGAGUAGCCAAAGACAUAAUUUAUCUCACAAAGAGCAUUCAGGUGUGUUUGAGGCCAAGGUUAGAUCAUUUUCUGGCCUUGGUCAGGUGGUCAGUAAUUAGAAAACAUGGUAAAGUGAACCAAUUUCUAUGAAUAUGGAAGUCUUGGAAAAGAUGUGCACAUCCCUGGGUCUGAUCACCAUUUUCUUGAACGCCUUGAGGUCUGAAUCCUUCUGAUACAGACUUUUAUGGAGCUACUUUGAGUGGAUUUCCAUUGCUUGAAAACAUAUUUCCUGCCUUGGACAGCCAAGGAGAAGUUGCCAGCUGAAGAAACCAGGUGACAAGGAACCAACAGAAAAUGAUGACAACAAAAAGAAAACUAUCCUGGCUCUGCCUCUGAAAGCCUACUAAACCUUCCCUGGCCCUUCCGGAUUACUGACCUGUGACUUCUACCACAUAUCUCUUCUGCCGUGAGCAGUGCUUUUGUCAGAGUCGUGGAAAAUUCACUUAAGAAAGCAAAACAAGGAAAUGAGAUGAGCGUUUUUCCUUUUGACCCUCUCAACUAUCCGGGCUGCUCAACAGUUGAGGCUGGUUGACUUGAAUUCCACCCUGAAGCUUAUAAAGUCAUCUCCGGGUUAUUCUGCUAUCAGUGUGGUUAUUUCAGGGAAGAGAAAGGGACAAAGAGACUCGCUCUUUUGCCAAGUGCGUUGUUCCAGGAUGAGCAGGCUAGAGGAAGGAAAAAGAAUGCUUUAUGCUUUAAGUGCCUGCCUUUUCAGCACAAGGAAACCUGCUGCUAUUAUUUUCUCUAUAAUGCACUUUGGUAAAGAUACAUAAUAGACAUUUAUAUAAUGCAUGUAAAAAGUCAGAAAACCAGAAAGUUCUCUGACAGUAACACCUUACAACCUGAUACUGAAGAAAAUAUCCUUGUAAGAUGAGCAUUGUGCAUUUCAUAGAGAUUGCUCUUUUAGUUCCCUAAGCUUAACUGGCAGGCCUAGCAUUUCAUUACAUCUCAUAUAGCGACUGAUUGCUUGGGGCCUCAUAUUCCUUUAAAAGUCAUGCCUUUACUGCCUUUCAGUAAUUGCAUUCUAUGUGUGCAAUGAUCUGAAAGCUAUCUGAGAAGAAAGAGCAUAAUAUUACAUAUAUGUUAGAGAGAAAUGCCAAACCCCUGCACCAUUUCUUGACACUUGAAGAUUUUAAUAGUGCUGAUUCAAUUAUAAUGUAGUCACAUCAUUAAUUUGUAUUACCCUGGUUUGCAAUUUCUAUAGGCUUUUUAAAAGAAAAAUAAACCCAUUUAAAUCUUUUUUUUUUUAAUUUGUGGUUAAUUAGGUAAUUGAAAGGGUCAAUCAAGGAUUUACCAAAUACAUUUCUAAACCAAUGCAAUGGUUCUUGCAAAACAUCCAGCAGGCAAUAAAUGAAUUAAAGGAAAAGAUAUUUAAUGCUAUGAAGAGCAUGCACUAAAAUAUAUAAAUCCAGGAAAAAAAUUAUACGUGAGGAGCAAACUGACAGUUUGUUAGAGCCCAGCUUUGAAAGUCCAAAGGAAGAGGAGAGCAGAAAAAUGACAUCAAGGCCAUAACCAAUAUGAGUAUAGGUCCAAUUAAUUUAUUGACAUAAUUAACACAUAGUAAUGACAUUACAGAAGCAGUCAGCUAGGAAGUGUUCAUAUACACCGUUUGAAUGAAUUCAAAAGAACCCUGUACUUAUCAUAAUUAAAUUAAUCAUUCUGGGAAAGCAACAUAGACUAUGGAGGCCAUAACAGCAGGCCAAAAGUCAUGCAUCCAAUUAAUUUUCUCACCAAAAUAAAACAUCUAGAAUUUUUAUAUCUCAUCAAACUGAA
rnacentral:lncRNA from 1 species